ACUCAGGUAAUCAUCGCUGGCCUGGGAGGACGCGGCCCUCGAAGAGUUUUGGAGCAUCUCCACACUUAGAUGUUCAAUGCCUCACGUCUACUGGGAGGGAAGGUUCAGCCCUACAUGGUGCCUACUUCUUAGCCUGACAAUGGGGUAUCCAGCGGGUGAAGCAGUUGAGAAGUGGGCAGUCGACCUUGGCUUUGCCCUCCUCCCCUGAUGUAGACCCCGAGGUGCCCCACUGAAGAUGCCUUUGGGAUGGAAAACAAGCUCUUUGAAGAUUGUUUCCCAAUUCUUACAUUUGAGGCCAGGAGGAAGUUCCGAGGACCCAUCUUUCAGGAAUUGGCCGGACGUGGGCAAAUAAAUUGGAUAUCUAUUGAUCAGCACUCCUGCCAAUAACUUGGAACAUCAUUUCCCAGUCAAUGAUUUCACAAAUGAAGACACUGCAAAAUAGUGUUCGUUGCCUGUCCACUGUAGGAACUGAUUCUAAAUGUUCACUUCAGUGUGCCUGCCAGAGGAAUACAAACCCGAUACGGGUGUACUGGCCACGCGUUGGAGAGACGAAAAGGCUUACUGAACAUUCUUAGUAAAUGUGCCAUUUGUUCCUGGUGGGUGAAGCAUUUCAUGAUUCAUGCAAUAUUGUAAAUUUUUAUUUUCUUUACAUAGACUUGGCUUUUAUUGUAAUUCCUACU
rnacentral:lncRNA from 1 species